GUUGAAGAAGAGUUAUUACGGUAGAUAUUGUUAAUUUUGAUUAAUGUUUAAAUAUCUAUAGUUUUAGAUGGCCAAACAUUUCAUGAAGCCAAAGUGCGAACGAUUAUUGAACAAAAAUUAACAGGAUUCAAAUUGCUUCAAUUGAAAUUAUCUUGUGGUUAUUUGAUGAAUUUGAUCUUCUCAAGAAUUUACAAUCAAGAAUGCCCUUGAACAAGGUUACCAAGUCAACAGAUAUUGGAAUUGUAGCCACACCGGAAACUUGUAGAAUAUGUGUAUAUAGGAAAGGAAAAGAGGAAAUCGAAAGUAAAGAAAUCCCAUUUUCUUGUAAAUAUUUAGUGGGUGAAUUGAGUUCGGUUUUCAAUUUCUAUAGAUGUUAAACUUUGAAAUAAAAAGAUAAAAUAGGUAUUUCUCUUUUAA